GGCCUCGUAGCUCAGCUGGUAGAGCAUGCGCGUACAAAGCAUAGGUGGUGUUCAUGCGUGGGUUCGAAUCCCAACCAAGGCUA
rnacentral:tRNA from 1 species